rnacentral:rRNA from 1 species
CGGGACGGGUGAGUAACACGUGAGCAACCUGCCUUCGAGGAGGGGAAUAACGGCUGGAAACGGUCGCUAAUACCGCAUAACAUACUGGGAGGACAUCCUGCUGGUAUCAAAGAUUUUAUCGCUCGAAGAUGGGCUCGCGUCCGAUUAGGUAGUUGGUGAGGUAACGGCUCACCAAGCCGACGAUCGGUAGCCGGACUGAGAGGUUGAACGGCCACAUUGGGACUGAGACACGGCCCAGACUCCUACGGAAGGCAGCAG